rnacentral:lncRNA from 1 species
AGCAAAGCCCAAACCGCAUAGUCAGCAAUAAAAGGCCCUGAAAUGACAAUGUAAAACAAUUCAAACGAGAAAACCAAUAGCCUUAUUUAUGUAUAUAGUUGAUUUCCCAAAUGAAUAUGGGUCUUACAUUAUAAACUUAUGGUUUACUUUUACAAAUUGUGACUUUAAUGGAGAAAUGUCUCAUUGACACUAAUACCACAUCUUCUUAUAUCUACUUUAAUGGAAACAAAGAAAAGAUAAAUGACCAAGCCUAAAGCACAAUUAUCUGUGUAAAAGGAAACUCAGUGGCAAACUCACAGGCUUUGAUUAAAUAUUUCUCAUAUUUUGGCAAAAAAUAUUUAACAAACCCAUGUCAUUUGCAUCAAUGGUCAGAUAAUUUGCUUAGAUAUUGAUGUAAAGUUCAAAGUUUUAACUAGUAUUAAGGUCUUCUUACGCGUGUUCAGCACAUUAAAUCUUAAUGACAUUUUCAAAUUUUAGGCAUUCACAUCAUUAAACCCCAGCUACCCCCUGCCA